rnacentral:lncRNA from 1 species
GAGUAUUUAGAAAUUAAUCACUAAUGAUGUAUGUCUCAAAUUCUCAACACCUUGAGAAUAUACAAAAUCAUCUUUAUUAAUUUUUAGGAUAAAUCAUAGACACAUAAACAUGAUUGGUUAUUAAGACUACCCAACAAGUACAAAAAUAUGUCCUAGAGAAAAGUAUGUUUCAGCCAAGAUUGGCUUCUAGGACACACAUCCAAUAUG